rnacentral:lncRNA from 1 species
CUUGAAAAAGUUGAAGGCAAAAUUUUUUUUCUAAUUUAUGGGAAAUUUUUAACAAUCAAUGACAAUAUAUGUAAGAUUUCUUACAUGGAUUAAUUAUUUAAUUAUAUUAUUAGGUUUGUUUUUUAUGAUUUAAUAUUUUUUUUUGGAUUUAUUUUCAUUAGGGUUUUUCAAGUUCUAAAAGCGCUUAAUUCCAAAUAAAAGCACUAUGGAACCUGAAGAACAAAAGCACCAGCAUGACCACCACAAGCGAUAUAUAAUCACACAAAGUUCUGCAUUAUAUAUGUUCAAACAAAAGAAUUAAGUUGAGAAACUAGGGAGAUGAUCAUACAAAAUUCUACAUUAUAUAUAUCCAAGUUCAUCACAAUAUAUAUAUAUAUAUAUAUAUUAUUUAUGUACGUACUUCUGAACUAAGAUUUUCCCUUUAAUUGGAUUGGGAGUUAGGUAGGAGACAGAAGAACAGAAACGAGAGAGAUAAGUAAACGAAAAGCCUUCACUGCUAUCCUCGUUUUAAUUUGCCCUCUUAAUUCUUGGAAGAGCCCUUCUUCUUCUUCUUCACACAUUUAUCAAAUGUUGCUGCAGCUGCUGCUUCGAAAUCAUACACCUUGCUCCUCAUCUUCCAUGCACUUUUUAGAGCUAAUUAAUUAAUAAGCUAAGCACUUAAUUUAUACCAUGCAUGGAGACACAUUAUGUUUCGAUAUAUAUGCACCUGCUGGGGUUCAGAGUUGCUAAAAUGGACUGCCACUUACAGUGACGAAGCCACAUAGAGUUCUAUAAGGUCAAUCGCCCCCACUGAAAAAAAAAAUUGUUUUAUAAUAUAAGGU